AAUACGAUAUACUAUAAAAAAUUGAAAUCCAAGAUGGCGGCCGCUACAAAAUGGCGGAUAACGUAGGUUUUAUCGAUCCCAUCAAUAUGGGUAUCAAAUGAAAGUGCUCAACCAGUAUAAUCAAUGUACUAUAUAAAAUUAAAAUCCAAGAUGGCGGCCUCUACAAAAUGGCGGAUAACUUAGGUUUUAUCAAUCCCAUCAACAUGGGUAUCAAAUGAAAGGUCUCAACAAGUAGAAUACAAUUUACUAUGAAAAAUUGAAAUCUAAGCUGGCCGCCGCUACCAAAUGUCUGAUAACAAUUUUUUAUCAAUCCCACCAAUAUGGGUAUCAAAUAAAAGGGCUUGACAAGAAGAAUACAGUGCACUAUACAACCUCAAUAUUUAAGAUGGGCCUUGCAAUAAUGAAGCACUAAAUGAAUUAAACAGAAUGCGAAAUAAAAACUAAAAACUAGAAAA
rnacentral:misc_RNA from 1 species